GUCACAUUCAAUGUUCACAAAAGACUUUCCUUACAGCAACCUUGGGAGAUCCAUGAUUUCCCCUUUCUCCUCUUCUCACAGCCUUCAGCUUUGGUAGAGGGAUCCUUUUAUGAUCUGGCCAGGAUGCAGUCCAUUGAUGUCCCCUUCCCUCUCGAUUAACAUAGUUCACAGAAACACUUAGUGAGCAUUCCAGAGGCAAAACCAGGAGGAGCGGUGGAAAUUCAGGUCCAGGGGCAGCCUUCUCACCCUGAAAAAUCACUCCACCUUUAUGGCCCACCUUUAUGGUCAGCUCUUCUUGGAACCUCGAGUUUACAGGAAGUGUCCAGGAGUCAUCCUGGUACAUUGGAAAGAACAAAGCCUCUGGAUUUGGAGUCAAGUCCAUGUUCUGCCACUUAAUUUUUGUGUGACCUUGGGCAAAUUAACUCUUGGUGACAAGUAACCUUUGAGAGCCUUAGUUUCCUCAUCUAUAUGAUGAGAGAGUUGAACUAUCUGAUAGCUAAGGUCCCUUCCAUACCCUUCCAUACCUAAGUCUGUGAUCCUGCCUGAUCCUUUGAGUGAAGCAGACUCAUGAAGUAACCUGAGCAAUGAAGAAUUAUUAGAAUCUGAUGAAAUAAUUGGAAAACCAGGAAACAUGAAAGGCUAAGCCUGUGGUUAAUUUAUAAUAUGAUUCAAUGCAAUAGAAAGGCUGGAGAUCAAUCUUGUUCAUAAAAACUCCUUUAAGAAAAAAGAGAGAGAUUCUGAAGUCAGAUAUCUGGGCAUAGAAACAGUAUGGAGUGGUUGAAUAUGCCCUCUACUUGUCAUCAGAACAAGGCUUGAGACCCAGCUAUACAAGUUGCUAACUGUAUGACCAUGGUCAAAUGAUUUUCUCCUGUCUGAGCCUCAGUUAUUUUUGUCUUUGUGAUAUAGUUAAUCAUAGUGCCACAGGCUUUUCAUGAGUAAUAAAUGAAAUAAUGUAGGCACUAUAUAUUUCAGAGUCAUCACCCUAUCUGCCUUAGUGGAAGCCUGACUAGGAGUCUCUUACUGCAAAUGGAAUCACAAAUUAAGACCAAGAAGAAAAUACGAUAAACAAAAUUCUCAAUUUACAAAGAAAAAUAAUUUAUCUCACAUUAAAAUGGUAGACUUCUUAAUCUAAGGUACCUCAUCUUUGUAUUUCCUUCAGAGUCUAGAACAGGGUUGAAUCAAUAAUGGAGGUUUAAUAAAUGCUUGUUAAAUUUAUUGAAGGUUUUGUGUAAAAAAAAUAAAAAUCCAGCUUUAUUGUAAGAUCCCAAAUGUGUUUAAAAUAGGAUUUGACUUCCAAGCAUUCAUUUUGUAAAGCAGGAUUUUAGUCCCAAUGCUGCCUUGAGUUGUUUACCUUUAUGCAGACCACUUCCCCCUUUUUGUACCUCAUUUUCUUCAUUUUAAAAAAGGGGAGAUUGAAUUGAAUAGUCUUUAAGGUUCCUCUCCAGUUGUAACUAACAUUCUAUGCUCUAUAUUCCUAAGGUUCCUUCCUGUUCUGACAUUUAAUAUUCUAUCGUCAGUCAAAUCAACAAGAUUUAUUGAGAGCUUACUAUGUGCCAGAUACUAUGCUAAGCACUAGGGAUAUAAGAACAUAACCUGAUUGGAAAAAACAAAACAAAACAAAACAAAACAAGGAAAUCCCUUUACUAGGGUGACCUCUUCUAAUCAUAUUCAUUUAUGUGAUGUUCAGAUGUUCUUUGCUCUUGGACAUUUCAUUUACAUAACAAUUCCACUGACAUAUAUUCCUAGAGAUUGAGUUUUUCCUUUUGUCUUUUCCAAAAUAAGGGCUUUGGGGCAAAAAAAAAAUAACUUCUAUACUAUUAUA